rnacentral:rRNA from 1 species
UACAGAGGUCUCAAGCGUUGUUCGGAUUCAUUGGGCGUAAAGGGUGCGUAGGCGGCGCGGUAAGUCGGGUGUGAAAUCUUGGAGCUUAACUCCGAAACUGCAUUCGAUACUGCCGUGCUUGAGGACUGGAGAGGAGACUGGAAUUUACGGUGUAGCGGUGAAAAUGCGUAGAUAUCGUAAGGAAGACCAGUGGCGAAGGCGGGUCUCUGGACAGUUCCUGACGCUGAGGCACGAAGGCCAGGGGGAGCAAAACGGGG